UAAGCGACUAAGCGUACACGGUGGAUGCCCUGGCAGUCAGAGGCGAUGAAGGACGUGCUAAUCUGCGAUAAGCGUCGGUGAGGUGAUAUGAACCGUUAUAACCGGCGAUUUCCGAAUGGGGAAACCCAGUGUGAUUCGUCACACUAUCAUUAACUGAAUCCAUAGGUUAAUGAGGCGAACCGGGGGAACUGAAACAUCUAAGUACCCCGAGGAAAAGAAAUCAACCGAGAUUCCCCCAGUAGCGGCGAGCGAACGGGGAGGAGCCCAGAGCCUGAAUCAGUGUGUGUGUUAGUGGAAGCGUCUGGAAAGGCGUGCGAUACAGGGUGACAGCCCCGUACACAAAAAUGCACAUAUUGUGAGCUCGAUGAGUAGGGCGGGACACGUGGUAUCCUGUCUGAAUAUGGGGGGACCAUCCUCCAAGGCUAAAUACUCCUGACUGACCGAUAGUGAACCAGUACCGUGAGGGAAAGGCGAAAAGAACCCCGGCGAGGGGAGUGAAAAAGAACCUGAAACCGUGUACGUACAAGCAGUGGGAGCCUCUUAAUGGGGUGACUGCGUACCUUUUGUAUAAUGGGUCAGCGACUUAUAUUCUGUAGCAAGGUUAACCGAAUAGGGGAGCCGAAGGGAAACCGAGUCUUAACUGGGCGUUAAGUUGCAGGGUAUAGACCCGAAACCCGGUGAUCUAGCCAUGGGCAGGUUGAAGGUUGGGUAACACUAACUGGAGGACCGAACCGACUAAUGUUGAAAAAUUAGCGGAUGACUUGUGGCUGGGGGUGAAAGGCCAAUCAAACCGGGAGAUAGCUGGUUCUCCCCGAAAGCUAUUUAGGUAGCGCCUCGUGAAUUCAUCUCCGGGGGUAGAGCACUGUUUCGGCAAGGGGGUCAUCCCGACUUACCAACCCGAUGCAAACUGCGAAUACCGGAGAAUGUUAUCACGGGAGACACACGGCGGGUGCUAACGUCCGUCGUGAAGAGGGAAACAACCCAGACCGCCAGCUAAGGUCCCAAAGUCAUGGUUAAGUGGGAAACGAUGUGGGAAGGCCCAGACAGCCAGGAUGUUGGCUUAGAAGCAGCCAUCAUUUAAAGAAAGCGUAAUAGCUCACUGGUCGAGUCGGCCUGCGCGGAAGAUGUAACGGGGCUAAACCAUGCACCGAAGCUGCGGCAGCGACACUAUGUGUUGUUGGGUAGGGGAGCGUUCUGUAAGCCUGUGAAGGUGGCCUGUGAGGGUUGCUGGAGGUAUCAGAAGUGCGAAUGCUGACAUAAGUAACGAUAAAGCGGGUGAAAAGCCCGCUCGCCGGAAGACCAAGGGUUCCUGUCCAACGUUAAUCGGGGCAGGGUGAGUCGACCCCUAAGGCGAGGCCGAAAGGCGUAGUCGAUGGGAAACAGGUUAAUAUUCCUGUACUUGGUGUUACUGCGAAGGGGGGACGGAGAAGGCUAUGUUGGCCGGGCGACGGUUGUCCCGGUUUAAGCGUGUAGGCUGGUUUUCCAGGCAAAUCCGGAAAACCAAGGCUGAGGCGUGAUGACGAGGCACUACGGUGCUGAAGUGACAAAUGCCCUGCUUCCAGGAAAAGCCUCUAAGCAUCAGGUAACAUCAAAUCGUACCCCAAACCGACACAGGUGGUCAGGUAGAGAAUACCAAGGCGCUUGAGAGAACUCGGGUGAAGGAACUAGGCAAAAUGGUGCCGUAACUUCGGGAGAAGGCACGCUGAUAUGUAGGUGAAGCGACUUGCUCGUGGAGCUGAAAUCAGUCGAAGAUACCAGCUGGCUGCAACUGUUUAUUAAAAACACAGCACUGUGCAAACACGAAAGUGGACGUAUACGGUGUGACGCCUGCCCGGUGCCGGAAGGUUAAUUGAUGGGGUUAGCGGCAACGCGAAGCUCUUGAUCGAAGCCCCGGUAAACGGCGGCCGUAACUAUAACGGUCCUAAGGUAGCGAAAUUCCUUGUCGGGUAAGUUCCGACCUGCACGAAUGGCGUAAUGAUGGCCAGGCUGUCUCCACCCGAGACUCAGUGAAAUUGAACUCGCUGUGAAGAUGCAGUGUACCCGCGGCAAGACGGAAAGACCCCGUGAACCUUUACUAUAGCUUGACACUGAACAUUGAGCCUUGAUGUGUAGGAUAGGUGGGAGGCUUUGAAGUGUGGACGCCAGUCUGCAUGGAGCCGACCUUGAAAUACCACCCUUUAAUGUUUGAUGUUCUAACGUUGGCCCGUAAUCCGGGUUGCGGACAGUGUCUGGUGGGUAGUUUGACUGGGGCGGUCUCCUCCUAAAGAGUAACGGAGGAGCACGAAGGUUGGCUAAUCCUGGUCGGACAUCAGGAGGUUAGUGCAAUGGCAUAAGCCAGCUUGACUGCGAGCGUGACGGCGCGAGCAGGUGCGAAAGCAGGUCAUAGUGAUCCGGUGGUUCUGAAUGGAAGGGCCAUCGCUCAACGGAUAAAAGGUACUCCGGGGAUAACAGGCUGAUACCGCCCAAGAGUUCAUAUCGACGGCGGUGUUUGGCACCUCGAUGUCGGCUCAUCACAUCCUGGGGCUGAAGUAGGUCCCAAGGGUAUGGCUGUUCGCCAUUUAAAGUGGUACGCGAGCUGGGUUUAGAACGUCGUGAGACAGUUCGGUCCCUAUCUGCCGUGGGCGCUGGAGAACUGAGGGGGGCUGCUCCUAGUACGAGAGGACCGGAGUGGACGCAUCACUGGUGUUCGGGUUGUCAUGCCAAUGGCACUGCCCGGUAGCUAAAUGCGGAAGAGAUAAGUGCUGAAAGCAUCUAAGCACGAAACUUGCCCCGAGAUGAGUUCUCCCUGACCCUUUAAGGGUCCUGAAGGAACGUUGAAGACGACGACGUUGAUAGGCCGGGUGUGUAAGCGCAGCGAUGCGUUGAGCUAACCGGUACUAAUGAACCGUGAGGCUUAACCU
rnacentral:rRNA from 1 species